UUCCAGUCGGAACAGGAUUCAGGCUGUCCCCGGAAGAGCCUGUGUGAGAUGGCGGUCGGUACUCGGACCGUUUGGUAGUUUUUGGGUUUUUUAGCUCCUCAGCCGAACCGAACCGUCUGCCUUACGGGAGCCUGAGUUGAGGCCGCUAUGGAGGGGGGUAAACCGAGCCUGACGCUGGUCUACCAGGCGGUCCAGGCCCUGUACCACGACCCGGAUCCGUCCGGGAAGGAACGAGCCUCGCUGUGGCUCGGAGAGUUGCAGAGAUCGAUGUUUGCCUGGGAGAUCUCGGACCAGCUGCUGCAGCUGAAGCAGGACGUGGAGUCGUGUUACUUCGCGGCUCAGACCAUGAAGAUGAAGAUCCAGACUUCCUUCUACGAGCUUCCUCCAGAGACCCACAAUGCACUGCGGGACUCCCUGCUGACCCACAUCCAGAACCUCAAAGACCUGUCGCCCAUCAUCGUCACUCAGCUGGCCCUGGCCAUCGCUGACCUCGCUCUGCAGAUGGCGUCCUGGAAGGGCUGCGUUCACACGCUCAUAGAGAAGUACAACGAGGACGCAGGCUCCAUGCCGUUCCUCAUCGAGAUCCUGACGGUCCUGCCGGAGGAAGUUCACAGCCGGUCGCUGCGGAUCGGCGCCAACCGCCGCACCGAGAUCAUCGAGGACCUGGCCUUCUACUCCAACACCGUGAUCGCCCUGCUGACGUCCUGCGUGGAGAAGGCGGGCGGCGAUGAGAAGAUGCUCAUCAAGGUGUUCCGUUGCCUGGGCAGUUGGUUCAACCUGGGCGUCCUGGACAGCAACUUCAUGGCCAGCAACCAGCUGCUGAUGGUCCUGUUCCAGAUCCUGCAGAGGGACGAGACGUCCACCAACCUGCAUGAGGCGGCGUCGGACUGCGUGUGCUCGGCGCUGUACGCCAUCGAGAGCGUGGACACCAACGUGGCUCUGGCGCUGCAGCUGUUCCAGGGCGUGCUGACGCUGGAGACGGCCUACCACAUGGCCGUGGCCCGCGAGGACCUGGACAAGGUGCUGAACUACUGCCGGAUCUUCACGGAGCUCUGCGAGACGUUCCUAGAGACGACGGUCCGGACGCCGGGUCAGGGCAUGGGCGACCUGAGAACGCUGGAGCUGCUGCUGAUCUGCGCCGGACACCCGCAGUACGAGGUCGUGGAGAUCUCCUUUAACUUCUGGUACCGCCUGGGCGAGCAUCUCUACAAGAUCAACGACGCCAACCUGCACGGCGUUUUCCGGCCGUACAUCCAGCGGCUGCUGCACUGCCUGGCCCGCCACUGCCAGCUCGACCCGGACCACGAGGGAAUUCCGGAGGAAACGGACGACUUUGGGGAGUUCAGGAUGAGAGUAUCGGACCUGGUGAAGGAUGUGAUCUUCCUGGUCGGCUCCAUGGAGUGCUUCUCUCAGCUGUACUCCACCCUGAAGGACGGGAACCCGCCCUGGGAGGUGACGGAGGCCGUCCUCUUCAUCAUGGCUUCCAUCGCCAAGAGCGUCGACCCGGAGAACAACCCGACGGUGGCCGAGGUGCUGCAGCAGGUGGUGCUGCUGCCGGAGAGCGUGCACAUGGCCGUGCGCUACACCAGCAUCGAGCUGGUGGGGGAGAUGAGCGAGGUGGUGGACCGGAACCCGCGCUUCCUGGACCCGGUUCUGAACUACCUGAUGAAGGGCCUGAGGGAGAAGCCGCUGGCGUCGGCGGCGGCCAAGGCCAUCCACAACAUCUGCUCGGUCUGCCGCGACCACAUGGCCCAGCACUUCCAGGGGCUGCUGGACAUCGCCCGCUCCCUCGACUCCUUCGCCCUGUCCACCGAGGCCGCCGUGGGCCUCCUCAAAGGUACGGCGCUGGUUCUGGCCCGGCUGCCUCUGGAGAAGAUCGCGGAGUGCCUCAGCGACCUGUGCGCCGUUCAGGUUCUGGCUUUGAAGAAGCUGCUGGCGGAGCGGUCCAGGAACGGGAAGUCGGCCGACCCGACGGCGUGGCUGGACCGACUGGCUGUCAUCUUCAGACACACGAACCCCAUCGUGGAGAACGGCCAGACUCACCCGUGCCAGAAGGUGAUCCAGGAGAUCUGGCCCGUCCUGUCGGAGACGCUCAACGCCCACCAGGCUGAUAAUCGCAUCGUGGAGCGUUGCUGCCGCUGCCUGCGCUUCGCCGUGCGCUGCGUCGGGAAAGGCUCCGCCUCCCUGCUGCAGCCGCUCGUCACUCAGAUGGUGAGCGUCUACCAGGUGUACCCGCACUCCUGCUUCCUGUACCUGGGCAGCAUCCUGGUGGACGAGUACGGCAUGGAGGAGGGCUGCAGGCAGGGGCUGCUGGACAUGCUGCAGGCGCUGUGUAUGCCCACCUUCCAGCUGCUGGAGCAGCCCAACAGCCUGAGGAACCACCCGGACACCGUGGACGACCUGUUCAGACUGGCCACCAGGUUCGUCCAGAGGAGUCCCGUCACGUUGCUAGGCAGCAGCAUCGUGGUCCACAUCAUCCAGUGCGCCAUCGCCGCCACGUCGCUCGACCACCGGGACGCCAACUGCAGCGUCAUGAAGUUCAUCCGAGACCUGAUCCACACCGGAGUCGGCAACGACCACGAGGAGGACUUUGCGCUGCGGAAGCGUCUGAUUGGUCAGGCCAUGGAGCAGAACGGCCAGCAGCUCAUCAACCAGCUGCUGCACUCCUGCUGCUUCUGCCUGCCGCCGUACACGCUGCCCGACGUGGCCGAGGUCCUCUGGGAGGUCAUGCUGUUCGACCGACCCAUGUUCUGCCGCUGGCUGGAGAACGCGCUGAAGGGGUUGCCGAAGCAGACGGCGGGCGGCGCCGUGACCGUCACCCACAAGCAGCUGACCGAGUUCCACAAGCAGGUGACCAGGUGAGUCCGGCGGGUCGGUACCGGGCUGCACCGAGGCUGGGUGAUUGAUUUCACUUUUAGAAAAUCAGAAUGUUUUUCCACCAAUCGCCUCCUUGGGAUUCAGUGAUGUCAUGGAGCCCAAGGCGGCAAUCUUGUUUGACUUUAUGAUGGAGUUUAUGUAGAAGAAACUGAGCUGCUCACAUCAGAUGCUUAUUUUAUGGUUUUAUUCAUAAAUAAAAAUGGGAAUUCAAAAUAAACAUUUUCUAACCCUGGGCUGAUCAUUCAGGAGGUGGACUGAAAGAAAAUCCACUGUCAGUUGUAAUUUCUUUUUUUUAAUCGAUAUAAAAAAAUCAGGUUUUAUUUUCAUCCAUGUCGCCCAGCCUCCGUUCCUCUCAUGAUGUUAGCCGCUGCUACUUCCUGUUGGUUCUGUGGUUGCCAUGCCGACAGCAAACUGAAGAGUUUGUGUUGGAUCCCAGUUCAUGUUCUGACCCGAUCAGCCUCCGGCGAAGGCGUCGGGAUGACUCAUCGUGAGGCGUUCAGGGGCCGUCAGCUCGUGUUGGGACCGGCCCAGCGGAGGGCGGGGCGCUGCUGGAUCAGAACCCGAUCAGUAUCGGCGGGAGCGGGUCCAGACUCGCCCUGCCCUGAGACCAGAAGGCCUUCAUGUGUGUGUUUCU